rnacentral:tRNA from 1 species
GCCUGGGUGGCUCAGUCGGUUAAGUGUCUGACUUCGGCUCAGGGCAUGAUCUCACGGUUUGUGAGUUCGAGCCCCACAUCGGGCU